GGCUGAAGGCAGCGAGGGAUCCACCCAACACCCUCACAGCCCGCGGGACUGAGGGCUGCGUGGACUCCCAGCGGCAUCAACCAGGCUGCAGUUUCUGUUUUGCUGCUCUCAGCAAGAAAUGCAUUUCCAACAUCUCCGCAGGCAGUGAGUGCUGAGUGGCUGUAAUAUUUGUGACCAUAAGAGACAUUAACACCCGGUGCCAUAUCCAAAGACCAGAAGACAGGGAAUCAAAGUUGAGCGUGGUGAUGCGCUGGGGUGUUUGGGAACCAACAUUUGGGCAAUGGGGAUGUGGGAAGCCGGGACGUCG
ensembl:lncRNA